rnacentral:rRNA from 1 species
CGGCCGCAGUACUCUGACUGUGCUAAGGUAGGAGGGGAUUGGCUUUUAAUUGAAGUCUAGUAUAAACGGCAAAAAUGGGGAAAAACUGUCUUUUGCUUAUUGGGUGAAAAUUCCCAAAUUUAAAACAUAAGACGAGAAGACCCUUAGAAUUAUGUUUUUGUUGGGGCAACAACGUCAGAGACAUAUGAUGUUAAUAUAAUUAUAAGGAAUUUAAUUACCUAAGGGAUAACAGCAUAAUUUCUUUUUUAGAUUAUGACCUCGAUGUUGGAUUAGGGACCUUAUUUACUAG